rnacentral:piRNA from 1 species
UCCCUCAGGGAUAAACCCCUAAUUGGUUGC